rnacentral:rRNA from 1 species
UACGAAGGGGGCUAGCGUUGCUCGGAAUCACUGGGCGUAAAGCGCACGUAGGCGGCUUCUUAAGUCAGGGGUGAAAUCCUGGAGCUCAACUCCAGAACUGCCUUUGAUACUGAGGAGCUUGAGUCCGGGAGAGGUGAGUGGAACUGCGAGUGUAGAGGUGAAAUUCGUAGAUACUCGCAAGAACACCAGUGGCGAAGGCGGCUCACUGGCCCGGUACUGACGCUGAGGUGCGAAAGCGUGGGGAGCAAACAGG